GUUGGUGAUUUGGGGAGAGGGGUACACCCGUUCUCAUUCCGAACACGGAAGUAAAGUCUCUUACCACCGAUGGUACUGCGCAAGCGGAAGAGUAGGUAGUCGCCAACU
rnacentral:rRNA from 2 species